rnacentral:rRNA from 1 species
UACGUAGGGCGCAAGCGUUGUCCGGAAUUAUUGGGCGUAAAGAGCUCGUAGGCGGCUUGUCACGUCGGGUGUGAAAGCCCGGGGCUUAACCCCGGGUCUGCAUUCGAUACGGGCUGGCUAGAGUGUGGUAGGGGAGAUCGGAAUUCCUGGUGUAGCGGUGAAAUGCGCAGAUAUCGGGAGGAACACCGGUGGCGAAGGCGGAUCUCUGGGCCAUUACUGACGCUGAGGAGCGAAAGCGUGGGGAGCGAACAGG